CUCCUUUGUGGAUGGUGUUUCAGCAAAGAUAAAUCUUUUCCAAUUAUCUUAUUUGUGUAAGGUAAUCAUUUAUAUUUCCCGCGUUGGCGAAUUGAAACAUACGGUUUAGUGUACCAUCUGAAAAGUCAUGAAAAUUUCGUGAUCUGUAGAAAUUGCAUGGAGAACAGCACAGUUCAGACAAGCGGCAGAACAGUGUGAUCCGUCGCCAUUUUGUUUAUUUUCGCGUAAAAGAGAUUUAAGAGAUCACCUAAGCAGAUCGUUUUAUCUUUGUCCGUGAAUAGAUCAGCUGAAUGCAUUAGUAGUUACGUUAGAAAGUUGAACGGAUUAUCCGGACAGAAAGAAAUUAUUUGUAUAGGGGAUUAUUGGCAGUUUGGAGAAAGUACCUAAGAUCAAAACUUUAAAAAUCCAAAGUUUGGUAAGGAGUACGCAAUUCUUACGAUUAUAAACGUGCCGGUACCGCGGUGCGGAAUACGUUUCUCGGAUCGGUUGAGAAAAAGUGAGGGAAUAAAAAGUGAAAAGUGUAAACGAGAUAUAGGUGCUACAAAGAGUGAGAAACGAAAGUCGUGACGACAAGAAGAAAAACAACGUAAGAAUUACGAAGGAUAUCAUCCAAGGGUGAAAUAUAUGGUCUGGGCGUCCCCCCCAAAAACAGGGGCAUUUGAUAGCCGCAGAAAUUGGGCGCAUCGCAAGCAAAUAUCAAUCGUCAUCUUGUGGUGAAACGACCUCCCUAUCAAGUCGUUUUAGUGACGGUAUUUCAGUCGUAAUUGGAAUCGAGCAACUACUGCAACAGAAUUUUCUUGAACCAAAAUUUUCCCUCUUUAGUGAAAGUAAUCAGUAAAUUGACCAACACCAGUCGAUUGUUCUUAGAAAUUCUUUUGCGAUUGCAUCAAUUAAAUUAACUUGAAGUAACCUCGACGGCGGAAGCCGCCUCCGAGGUUCCCGGCACAAUCAAAACGACCGUCAAUAUCGGCAUUGCAAUGAACCACGUUAACGAUCAGGAAAACCUUAAACAGCUCAACCUGGCACCAGUUCAGGUUAAUGAAGUCGAAGAAAUGGAUACACAAGAAGGAGAAACACCAAAUGAUGGUGGAGGAGAUGGAAACGAUACAAGUCCUAUGAAUGGAGAAUCAGAAUUAGCUUGUAUUGUUCAAGAUCAGGAAAUGGAAGAAGACGAAGCAAGGUCAGAAGCUACCUUUCGCUAUACAGUAGAAAACCUUUCGAAAAUGAAAGAAACACAAUUGUCUCCUCCAUGCUAUGUACGCAAUUUGCCAUGGAAAAUAAUGGUAAUGCCAAGGACAAGCCAAACUCAAGAUAGAACUCCUCAAAAGUCACUUGGUUUUUUUCUGCAAUGUAAUGGAGAAAGUGAAUCAACAUGGAGUUGUUACGCAGUUGCAGAUCUUCGAUUACUUUCUUGCAAGGAAGGACAAGAACCGUUUAACAGAAGAAUUCAGCAUCUAUUCUAUAGUAAAGAAAACGAUUGGGGUUUCAGUCAUUUUAUGACGUGGCAGGAUGUCCUGGAUCCUGAUAAAGGCUACAUCAAAGAUGAUUCUAUUACACUUGAGGUUCAUGUAAUGGCAGAUGCUCCACAUGGUGUCAGUUGGGAUAGCAAAAAGCAUACAGGAUUUGUAGGAUUAAAAAAUCAAGGUGCUACAUGUUACAUGAAUUCCUUGCUUCAAACUUUGUAUUUUACUAAUCAGUUGCGCAAAGCAGUCUACAAAAUGCCGACAGAAAGUGAUGAUUCUAGCAAGAGCGUUGCUUUGGCUUUACAAAGGGUUUUUCAUGAAUUACAAUUCUCCGAUAAACCAGUUGGUACAAAAAAAUUAACUAAAAGUUUUGGUUGGGAAACACUGGAUUCUUUCAUGCAACACGAUGUACAAGAAUUUUUACGAGUGCUUUUAGAUAAAUUGGAAAGUAAAAUGAAAGGAACAUGUGUUGAAGGUACAGUGCCAAAAUUAUUUGAAGGAAAAAUGGUGUCGUUUAUAAAAUGCAAAAACAUCGAUUACAAGUCAACUAGAGUCGAGACUUUCUAUGAUAUACAAUUAAAUAUAAAAGGCAAGAAAAAUAUUUAUGAGUCCUUUAAUGACUAUGUAAGUACUGAAAGUCUGGAUGGUGAUAAUAAAUAUGAUGCGGGAGAACAUGGAUUGCAAGAGGCAGAAAAAGGUGUUAUCUUUUCAUCGUUUCCACCAGUUUUACAUUUACAUUUAAUGAGAUUUCAAUAUGAUCCAGUUACAGAUUGUUCUGUCAAAUUUAACGAUAGGUUUGAAUUUUAUGAAAAAAUAAGUCUUGGCAAAUAUUUACAAAAUAAAGAAGCAACAAGUGCAGAUUAUACAUUGCAUGCAGUCUUAGUUCAUAGUGGAGAUAAUCAUGGUGGACAUUACGUUGUGUUUAUUAACCCAGCUGGCGAUGGAAAAUGGUGCAAAUUCGAUGAUGAUGUCGUAUCAAGAUGUACAAAACAGGAAGCCAUUGAACAUAACUACGGUGGCCAAGAUGAGGAUAUGUCUAUAGCUGUGAAACAUUGUACAAACGCCUACAUGUUGGUGUAUAUAAGGGACUCCGAGUUGGAAAACGUAUUGCAAGACGUUAAGGAAGAGGAUAUACCUCAAGAGCUGGUGGAGAGGCUGCAAGAGGAGAAGAGGCUGGAACAAAUACGAAGAAAGGAAAGAACAGAAGCAUACUUGUAUAUAACCGUCAACGUCCUUCUUGAGGAUAAUUUUGACGGUCACCAAGGAAAUGACUUAUAUGAUCCGGAGCAUGCUUUGUAUCGUGUAUUUCGCGUACGUAAGCAGUGUGCCUUGCACGAGUUUCUCAAAUUGCUGAGUGAUAGCUUGAAAUAUCCAAUAGAACAAAUUCGUUUGUGGCCACUGAAUAUACGUUCAAAUCAGACUUGUAGGCCAAUGCCAAUUGAAUUAGAAACCGAUCUUCCAAAAUCUAUUUAUCAAUGUGCAGAGAAUCCAAACGUUUGGAAUGUAUUCGUUGAACUUGUUCCUCCAGAUUCUGAUCUAACAGCAUUGCCGCCUUUUGAUAAAGACACAGACGUUUUGUUGUUUUUUAAGUUAUAUGAUCCCAAGAACAAAAAGAUACACUACUGUGGACAUCAUUAUAUGCCUGUCACAGCUAAAGUCCAGGACCUAAUACCAAUUUUAAAUGAAAGAGCUGGAUUUCCACCAGAUACUGAACUAGCUCUUUACGAAGAGAUCAAGCCUAACUUGGUUGAAAAGAUAGACAGCUUAACGGAGCCAUUAGAAAAAGUCCUUGAAGAAUUAAUGGAUGGUGAUAUUAUCGUUUUUCAGAAAGAAGGGGACCAUCAGUUAUAUGAACUUCCAACGUGUAGAGAAUAUUUCAAGGACUUAUUUCAUAGAGUAGAUGUAACAUUUUGUGAUAAAACGAUUCCUAAUGAUCCGGGUUUCACAAUGGAACUUUCAUUAAGAAUGACGUAUGAUCAGAUGGCAAGAGCUGUGGCGCAAAGGCUUGGUACAGAUCCAUAUCUUUUGCAGUUCUUUAAAUGCCAAAGUUACAAAGAUUCACCUGGACAUCCAUUAAAAUGUACAUUUGAAGGUUCACUUAAAGAUUUGGUUACAUAUUGUAAACCGAAGACAAAAAAAUUGUAUUAUCAGCAACUUAGUAUUAGAGUAAAUGAGCUUGAAAAUAAAAAGCAGUUUAAAUGCAUAUGGGUUGGUCCGUCUCUUAAAGAAGAGAAGGAAAUUAUUCUUUACCCUAAUAAGAAUGGAACAGUAGCCACAUUGCUCGAAGAAGCUAAGAAACAAAUUGAGCUAUCAGAGAAUGGGUCUGGAAAGUUAAGGAUAUUAGAAAUAAAUUGUAGUAAAGUUUCACCCGGUCCAAGAGAGGAUGUACUUUUAGAUAACUUAAAUACAUCUGGUACGAAAUUAUACAGAAUAGAAGAGAUUCCAAAUGAUGAAUUAAAUUUAGCAGAAGAUGAAAUGUUGGUUCCUGUUGCACAUUUUCACAAAGAUGUUUUCUCAACGUUUGGCAUACCUUUUUUCUUUAAAAUUAAGCAUGGUGAACCUUUCCCAAAGAUGAAGGAAAGAUUGUUGAAGAAAUUAGGGGUACAGGAAAAAGAAUUCGAAAAGUUUAAGUUCGCGGUGGUAACAAUGGGAAAACCACAUUUUAUUAUGGAUUCACCAGAAUAUUGCAUGGAUCUCGCAGAUUUUCGUAUUCACCCAAGUCAGAUUUAUCCACUUUUAAACGCAGGCACAUCGCCACAUAGGCCUUGGCUUGGCCUAGAACAUGUCAACAAAGCGCCAAAGCGCUCUCGUAUCAACUACCUCGAAAAGGCUAUUAAAAUUUACAACUAAAUUUUCAUCAUACGAAGAAAAAUAAAAUUAGGCAGCCACUUAUAUAAUUUACACGAUUCUAUAGUAAACAAAAAAGCUAUGUUUUACAUGCGAUGGUUGGAUAAUGUAUUUAUUCGGUUCUUCAACCAAAUAAUAUGCGAUUUCAACGUUACGAUCAUGUUAAUGAAAGGUAAAUCUACGCUUUGUAUACGAUGGAUUGAGAAAUUGUACUGAUCAUGUAAUGAUAUUUUAUGUAUCAUGGAAGUUCUCCCUUUCGAAUCGACAGGGAUUUUAUGUAAUGGCCGGAUCGACAAUACUCCAUCGAUAACCAUUAUGCUUCAACAACAAUGGAUUAAACAUUCUCCUAUCAGUGAAAAUCAAUUUUUCGAUUCGUAAAUAUUUCGCCUUUCCCACUGGCAAAUUAAUUUGAUCAAUAUUGUUGAGGAUAAGGCAUGUGGCUCUUUCAAGAGCAAUAAUUUAUUUAUUAAACGCAUUUUAUUUCUAAAACUAUAUAAUUACAACUGCAAAAUGAAGAAAGCACUCGUGUGGGGAAACAAUAAAGGUAUUUAUAAAUGUAAUAUAAUAUUACCUUCGUAGAAAGAUAUCACAGUUUUUUUUUCAAAUUUUACUUUUGAUCCUGCCACGUAAAAUCUUUGUAACUGAUAUAACGAGAUCCAAAGAAAACACUAUGUAACGUUUUGUGUAAUGUAAUAUUUAAAAACCCAUUAUUAGAAAAGAAUUAUCUACGUGCUCCUGUUUUAUAUUAUAUCCAGGACGUUUGAAAUGCAGACUUACAGUUACCUUGUAAUCUUAUAUUUUGCAUAUUAAGGUAAUUUUUUGCGAACAAAUAAACAUUAAUAAUUUGUUUAUGGCAUCGUUUCUUGUAAAAUGCAUCUUUGUACAUGAGAAUGUAGUUAUCAUAUCCUUGAUUGAAGAGAAAUGUAAUCAGAGUAUGAUAUUGUUACAUAAAAAAAUUACUAUAAAGCAUCUAUGUAAUUUAUAAGUGAAAUUUUUGAGUUGCCUUUCGGACACCUUGGAUUUUUCAUGUUUCAGUAUAUCCUUUCUUUCAUAUGUCCAAAAUUUUGCAAAUUCAAAUUGACCCAUCAAAGACGGAUACGAUAGAUGGACACAGGGUUACUUUGACCUGUAACAAUGUCAUAAUUGUAUACAAAGCUUAAAAUACAUUUAAACAUAAAGUAAAUACGUAUACACGCUGAAAAAAGUACAUAUGCAAAUAUACAAUUUAUACUGCAAAAUGACGGCAUUCGGUACGCGUGUGAAGGUUAAAAUUAAAUUUAAAGUCCAAAUCGUGCGUUAAGUCAAUAAAAGUUAAUUAAUCCUCAUACACUGAAUGCCAAGUUAUUUUGACUCUGUAUGUAUUGUAUACUCGCGUAUGAUUCGGUAUGGGUUAAAGUCUCUGUAUUUAAAGUGUGAAGGUUAACCUAUGCACUCCUAAUAGCAGCUCAUUUUGAUUCAGUAUGUAUUGUAUGCUGGGUCAAAAUGACCCUGCUUUUUGGGUGCAACGAUUAAGAUAGAGGCAAUUUUGGUGAAAAAAGAAGAAGAAAAAGUAGCAAAGCUUGUUUUACAACUUCAUAAUCAUAUUAAAUAUAUCUUUUUACAUACUUUUCUUACUUUUCAUUUGUUAUAUACAUAUACAAUAUAUUUCUUCACAGAAAAAUUUGUCACAAUAUUAUGAUCAAUCCAAUUAUUUAUAAAUCAUAUUUUGUCAAACAUUUUUCCAACUGUGAUUAAAAAUCAUUCAUCAAGCAGUAAUGGCUCGUUUAUAAGGACUGCAAAGCUGGAAUUCCUCUAUUGUAAAAUGCGUUUCUGGUUUAUAAAUAUAUAUACGUAUUUAAAAAUCAUCGAAA